rnacentral:misc_RNA from 1 species
ACUCAAAGGAAUUGACGGGGGCCCGCACAAGCGGUGGAGCAUGUGGUUCAAUUCGACGCAACGCGAAGAACCUUACCUGGGCUCGAACGGCUCACGAAAAGCUGUGGAAACACGGUUUUCCCGCAAGGGACGGGAGUCGAGGUGCUGCAUGGCUGUCGUCAGCUCGUGUCGUGAGAUGUUGGGUUAAGUCCCGCAACGAGCGCAACCCUUGUCCUGUGUUACCAUCAUUCAGUUGGGAACUCGCAGGAGACCGCCAGCGAUAAGCUGGAGGAAGGUGGGGAUGACGUUUCCAGGUUAGG